CGGGGGGAGCAAGCGUUGUUCGGAUUUACUGGGCGUAAAGGGCGCGUAGGCGGCGCAACAAGUCACUUGUGAAAUCUCCUGGCUCAACUAGGAGCGGCCAAGUGAUACUGUCGUGCUAGAGUGCGGAAGGGGCUACUGGAAUUCUCGGUGUAGCGGUGAAAUGCGUAGAUAUCGAGAGGAACACCUGCGGCGAAGGCGGGUAGCUGGGCCGACACUGACGCUGAGGCGCGAAAGCCAGGGGAGCGAACGGGAUUAGAUACCCCGGUAGUCCUGGCCUUAAACGAUGGAUACUUGGUGUCCGGGGUUACAUAGUCCCCGGGUGCCGGCGCUAACGCAUUAAGUAUCCCGCCUGGGGAGUACGGUCGCAAGACUG
rnacentral:rRNA from 1 species